rnacentral:rRNA from 1 species
CCUACGGGCGGCAGCAGUGAGGAAUAUUGGUCAAUGGGAGAGAUCCUGAACCAGCCAAGCCGCGUGAGGGAAGACGGCCCUAUGGGUUGUAAACCUCUUUUGUCGGAGAACAAAACCCGGGACGUGUCCCGCACUGCGUGUAUCCUACGAACAAGCAUCGGCUAACUCCGUGCCAGCAGCCGCGGUACUACGGGGGAUGCGAGCGUUAUCCGGAUUUAGUGGGUUUAAAGGGUGCGUAGGCGGUCCGUUAAGUCAGCGGUAAAAGUGCGGGGCUCAACCCCGUCGAGCCGUUGAAACUGGCAGACUUGAGUGGGCGAGAAGUACGCGGAAUGCGCGGUGUAGCGGUGAAAUGCAUAGAUAUCGCGAAGAACUCCGAUUGCGAAGGCAGCGUACCGGCGCCAGACUGACGCUGAGGCACGAAAGCGUGGGGAUCGAACAGGAUUAGAUACCCCAGUAGUC